UACGGAGGAUGCAAGCGUUAUCCGGAUUCAUUGGGUUUAAAGGGUGCGUAGGCGGAUUAUUAAGUCAGUGGUGAAAUCCUGCAGCUUAACUGUAGAACUGUCAUUGAUACUGAUAAUCUUGAAUGCAGUUGAGGUAGGCGGAAUGUGUAAUGUAGCGGUGAAAUGCUUAGAUAUUACACAGAACACCGAUUGCGAAGGCAGCUUACUAAACUGUGAUUGACGCUGAGGCACGAAAGCGUGGGUAGCAAACAGG
rnacentral:rRNA from 1 species